UACAGAGGGUGCGAGCGUUGUCCGGAAUCACUGGGCGUAAAGGGCGCGUAGGUGGCGACCCAAGUCGAUGGUGAAAGCUCGCCGCUCAACGGCGAGUCGGCCACCGAUACUGGGUUGCUGGAGCACUGUAGAGGCAGAUGGAAUUCCGGGUGUAGCGGUGAAAUGCGUAGAUAUCGAGAGGGAACACCUGCGGCGAAGGCGGGUUGCUGGGCUGACACUGACGCUGAUGCGCGAAAGCCAGGGGAGCGAACGGG
rnacentral:rRNA from 1 species